rnacentral:rRNA from 1 species
ACAUAUUUUAGAGCCUAAUUCAUUUUAAUUAAUAAUCAAAAUUACAUUCAAAUCCAAAUUUAAAAUUUUAAUGAUAAAAUCCCUCCUAAAAUAAAUUUAUUGUAAUCCAUCUCUACUUAAAUAAGCUGCACCUUGAUCUGAUUUUUAAUAUAAUUAUAUAUAAAAAUUAUAUAUUUUAGAAAAUAAUUGACAACGACGAUAUACAAACAAAAUUUAAGUUUUAUUAAUCGUGGAUUAUCGAUUACAGGACAGAUUCCCCUGAUUGGAAUAAAAAACCGCCAAAUUUUUUGAAUUUAAAGAACAUAACUCAUAUUUAUCAGGUCUAUGGUUCUACAUCUAGAAUAAUGGGGUAUCUAAUCCCAGUUUAUUAUCCAGAUUUCUUAACUUCAUAAUCAAAGCCAUAGUAUAAAAAUAAAGAUUUCACCCAAUAUUUUAAUAUAUUUUUAAUUUAUUGCUAUUAAUUAAGUAUAAAACCGAAAAAAAAUAGUAGCAUUAUUUGUCUAACCGCA